AAGUAAGAAACAAAGAUUGUAUUUAGUUUCGACCUAAAAGUUUGAUGGUUACAUCCUUACUUU
rnacentral:tRNA from 1 species